rnacentral:lncRNA from 1 species
ACAAUACACAAUUUACAUUCAGUUUUGCAGCUCCGGUACAGAUAAUUUUCGCCUGCCCUUCUAGAUGUCCGUUUAAGCUCAAAUUUGACAGUCACGCUCGGUUUUACUUAACUUAACGAAAGAAAUUUUAAUUUUUCAGUUUCGACCCUGUUUGGUCACCGAAAGCUCUACCGAAUUGUAAUCUCUAGCAGAUAGCAGUCGGAUUUUAUUUUCCACUUUUCGGGUGUCGGAUUGACAUGAAACUUUAAAUCUAGCCUCAUAAAAAUAAUCUCGACAUACUUCCAAUUUUUCAUAAUUUUCUGACACUAUGCAUUUUCUGCUAAAAUAUCAGCCCCCGUCUCUCGCAGAAAAUUCUAAAUCUUUUAUUUUCGUUCCGAUUUCAGCACAGGUCAUUUCUGACUUAUAUUUUACUUCUCUAUAUCCAAUAAAAAUUGAAUCUUAUACUAUUUUUAUUUAUUUUUACUUUUAUAUCAAAAUCUGGUAUGUUACAUACCAUA